CACGUAGGGUGCGAGCGUUGUCCGGAAUUAUUGGGCGUAAAGAGCUCGUAGGCGGUGUGUCGCGUCGGCCGUGAAAACCUGCAGCUUAACUGUGGGCUUGCGGUCGUAUAACGGGCAUCACUGGAGUUCGGCAGGGGAGACUGGGAAUUCCUGGUGUAGCGGUGAAAUGCGCAGAUAUCAGGAGGAACACCGGUGGCGAAGGCGGGUCUCUGGGCCGAUACUGACGCUGAGGAGCGAAAGGCGUGGGGAGCGAACAGG
rnacentral:rRNA from 1 species